GACUUCGUAGCUCAGUUGGUAUAGAGCAUUGGACUAGCAAACCAAAGGUCUUGGGUUCGAUUCCCACCGCAGUCA